AUUGAACGCUGGCGGCAUGCCUUACACAUGCAAGUCGAACGGCAACACGGAGCUUGCUCUGGUGGCGAGUGGCGAACGGGUGAGUAAUAUAUCGGAACGUACCCAAGAGUGGGGGAUAACGUAGCGAAAGUUACGCUAAUACCGCAUACGAUCUAAGGAUGAAAGCAGGGGAUCGCAAGACCUUGUGCUCCUGGAGCGGCCGAUAUCUGAUUAGCUAGUUGGUGAGGUAAAGGCUCACAAAGGCAUCGAUCAGUAGCUGGUCUGAGAGGGCGACCAGCCACACUGGAACUGAGACACGGUCCAGACUCCUACGGGAGGCAGCAGUGGGGAAUUUUGGACAAUGGGGGCGACCCUGAUCCAGCAAUGCCGCGUGAGUGAAGAAGGCCUUCGGGUUGUAAAGCUCUUUUGUCAGGGAAGAAACGGUCGUGGCUAAUAUCCAUGGCUAAUGACGGUACCUGAAGAAUAAGCACCGGCUAACUACGUGCCAGCAGCCGCUGUAA
rnacentral:rRNA from 1 species